UUGGACUUAGGAUCAUGUGAGGGGAUAUUUAGGAUUGCUCCAACCCACCAGUGCAGGCACUUCUCCUGUGUGGAUCUUGUGAGCUGUCUGUCCCAGCCCAAGCUAUGGGAGCACCAGUGCUCCUUUUAGCCCUGACUCUGUUCCCAGUCGCAGCUGCAGCAAGCCUGGAACCUCAUUAUAUGGUGGUGUUCCCUGCUGUUAUUCACUAUUCCCAAGAGGAGAAGCUCUGCAUUCACUUCAGCUCCCUGAGUGAGGCUGUCCACCUGGCUAUCACCUUGCAGGCGUCAACCCAGAACCACACACUGGUGGAACGGGAUGUGGAGAAGCCAGGCACUUUCCAGUGCAUCACUUUCCAGGUGCCAGAAUUCAUUCCCAGGAAAAGAGAUGGCUCCGCGUCACACCCAGAGACGGUGGUUUUUCUCCAUGUCCUGAUCUGCAGUGGGGAAAAUGUGCUCUUUGAGGGUCGCAAGAAGGUUCUGGUCAAGCCCCAGAAGAAUGUAAUUCUAGUAGAGACAGAUAAGGACUUAUACAAACCUGGAGAAACAGUGAGGUUUCGAAUUGUGAACUUCAAUGAGGACCUUAAGGUCAUUAAAAAUGAUUACUCCCAGAUAUGGCUGCAGGAUCCUGAGCAUAACCGUAUUGCUGAAUGGCUGAAUGUUAAAUCAAGACAUGGCAUUGUGGAUCUAUCUUUUCCCCUGGCCUCUGAAAUACCCCUUGGGAAUUAUACCAUCUCAGUGCAGCAAGACAUGGCUAAAAAAACCUUCAGUGUCGAAGAAUACGUGCUGAAAAAAUUUCAGAUAAAGAUUGAGCACCCUCCAUUUAUCACUACAGUGAAUGAGGAAUUUCAGCUGAAGGUCUGUGGCAAGUAUACCUAUGGGAAGCCCGUUCAAGGGAAAAUAGAAAUUAAUUUUAUCGUAUUAUCCCAGUUCCUGGAAGAAGAUUUAUCAACUUCUGCUGAGAAGAGGAAGCAAACCAGCAGGACAAACAAGAAUGGCUGCACUACUUUUACAGUGAAGACAGAGACUCUGGAAAUAAAUAAAACUGACAGCCACAUAAUUGCCAUAGGAAAAAUGGUGGAAGACGGAACAGGAGCAGAGACUAUGGAAAUUACUCGAAUUCCUAUUGCGACAAGAAUGAAGUCUAUAGAGUUUAUCAAUCUUCAUUUAUUCUACAAACGUGGACUACCAUACACAGGGAAGAUGCUCUGUCACAGUGACAAGUCUCCCCUCAGAAAUGAAACAGUCUACCUAAUAGUUGAUGUCAAUGAUGAGGAGACAUACCUGACAUUCAUCACAGAUGAGAAUGGGGAAGCCCACUUCUCACUGGAUACCACCAGCUGGAACAGCACAAUGGUUUCUCUGAGGGGUACCUACGGUCUUGGAAAUGAAGACGAGCAAGAUUCUUCUGAAAGCUACACAGAAGUCGAAGAUAGCUUCCACUGGUUGAAACCUUUCUACUCUGAAAGCAACAGCUUCCUUGAGAUCAAGGCCAGGAAUGACAUGAUGGCCUGUGAUCAAGAGCAGGAAGUCCAAGUGGAUUAUAUCCUUGACCCAAAUAAACUUGGCUCUGAAGUAGACCACAUUGAUUUCUACUACUUGGUGAUAGCUAAAGGCAAGAUCCUUUUCAGUGGAGAGAAGCAGGUGCCAAUCAAUCGACAUGAGAAUCUGCAGGGCUCCUUCUCAUUGACUCUGACUGUUGGCAAUGACUUCCUGCCUGACAUCCAGCUUCUACUGUAUGCAGUUUUCUUGGAUGGAGAGGUGGUGGCUGAUGUGGAAGAGUUUCAAGUAGAAACAUGCUUUAGACACAAGGUGUCACUGGAAUUCUCACACAAGGAGGAAGUCCCAGGAUCAAAAGUCACUCUGAACCUCAAGGCUGCUCCAGGGUCCUUGUGCUCUGUCCAAGCUGUUGACAAGAGUGUCCUCCUGAAGAACGAUACUACCCUAACAGCAAACACAUUGUACGAGAAGGUCUUUGAUGACAGCUUUAAACUUGGAGGACGAGGGUUCCCUUAUCACUUGGAAGACUUUGAGGCAUACCCUUGUCUGCCCCAGGAGUCCAGCCUCCACAAAAAGACUCGGAUGGGAGCACCGUGGUACCAAAGUGACGCUGAUGUCUUUAAUCUGUUUAAGAUGUUGCGCAUGAAAAUAUUAACCAAUACUAGAAUCAAGAAACCAGUUUCUUGCAUGCAACCAGGCUUUGAGAAAAAGAUGUAUUCUCGAAAAGACAAUGUUGCUGUAGAAAGUCAUGUUGUCCAUGGUGAUUCUGCACCUCGUUCUCAAGACAAGAAGCCAAAACCACGGACACUGUUCCCAGAGACCUGGAUUUGGGAUUUGGUCUCCGUUGGGGAUGAUGCGCAAGUGUCUCUCCAAGUUGCUGUACCUGACACCAUCACAGAAUGGAAUGCCAACACCUUCUGUGUUGCUGAUACUGGCUUUGGGUUGUCACCUCUGACCACUCUUAGGGUCUUCCAGCCUUUCUUUGUGGAUCUGUCACUGCCAUACUCUGUGAUCCAAGGAGAGACUUUCAGCCUAAAAGCCACUGUCUUCAACUACCUCAAGGACUGUAUCCAGGUGCGCACCACACUCACAGAGACCCCAGAACUGCAGGUGGGUGCCUGUCCAGGCUGCCAGUUCACCAGCUGCCUCUGCUCCAAUGAAGUGAAAACCUUCACGUGGAAUGUGACAGCCACCAGGCUGGGCAAAGUGAAUGUCACCGUGAGCAGCGUGGCAGAAGAUUCACACAAUCUGUGUGAUAACAGGGUUACUGUGACACCUUUACAAGGAGAGAGAGACACAGUAAUAAAACCUCUGCUUGUGAAGCCAGGAGGUAUCCUACAAGAGAAGACCCAGAACGCCUUUCUUUGUGCUGCAGAUAAUACUGUCUCUGAAGAGUUCUCCCUGACUUUGCCUGCAGAAGUGCUGGAGGGAUCUGGACGAGCCACUUUCUCUGUGAUUGGGGACAUCAUGGGCCCAGCACUUCAAAAUUUAGACCAGCUGCUAAGGAUGCCCUUUGGCUGUGGUGAACAGAACAUGGUUCAGUUUGCACCAAACAUCUUCAUACUUCAAUACUUGAAUAAGACUAAACAACUGGUCCCAGAAAUUGAAGAUAAAGCACUGAAAUUCCUGAAAACAGGUUACCAGCGUCAGCUGCUCUACAAACAUGACGAUGGCUCAUACAGCGCCUUUGGGAAAGGUGACAACCAGGGCAACACAUGGCUGACAGCUUUUGUAGCCAGGUCCUUUGGACAAGCCAGCUCUCACAUCUACAUCAAUAAGGAUCAUGUGCACAGUGCCCUGCUCUGGCUGCAGAAGCAACAGCUGCCCAAUGGCUGCUUCCAGAGUGUGGGAAAGCUCUUCAACAAUGACUUGAAGGGUGGUGUGGAUGAUACAAUCUCAUUAACAGCCUAUAUUGCUGCUGCACUGCUGGAGCUCCAUAUGGAGAAGAAUAGGAAAUUCACUGGGUUGGAAUUCCUUUCUCAGGUUACCAUGCUGGAUAAUGCCUUACGUUGCCUCAGGAAUGUAACACUUGAUAAAACAAGCCUUUAUGUUAAGUCUUUGAUGGCUUAUGUCUUCACGCUGAGUCAGGAUAUGGAGAUGAGAGAGCAGCUCCUGCAUAUGCUAGAGAAGGAAACUGCAGAACUCCUGACAUCACAUUCCAGUAGUGAAGAAUCUUCCUCUUCUAUGAUUGAGACAGUAGCCUACAUCCUCCUGGCUCAUGUCUCCAAACCAGACUUGGCAUUCAAUGAAGCCUCAGUAAGCAAGAUUGUGCACUGGCUCAGUGGAAAAAGAAAUGCCUUUGGUGGAUUUGCUUCCACACAGGACACAGUUGUUAGCCUGCAGGCCCUCGCUCAGUAUGCAGCCCUGAUUCCUCAGGAGAUCAAAGAGGUAAAGGUGACAGUGAAAGGCAAGGAGACUUCUCCAUUGGAGUUCCAUGUGCACAGGAACAACAAGUUGGUCCUGCAUCAGACUUCCCUCCUUGCAGUCCCAGGGAUGUACACAGUACAAGCAACUGGCAGUGGCUGUGUUUAUGUACAGACCACUUUGUACUAUAACAUCCCACCACCAGAAAAAGAAGAAGUCUUCAUUCUAGAUGUGGAAACAGUACCAAGAGAAUAUGAUGGUGUCAGGGAACAGCUUGACAUCCAUGUGUCUGUCAGUUAUGUAGGGGACCGUGAGACCAGUAACAUGGCCCUGGUGGUGGUGGAGAUGCUGUCAGGGUUCAUUCCUGUGAAGAGCUCUGUGAAAGCGCUGGAGAAGAUACCUCUGGCAAAAAAGACAGAGGUAAAACCAGACAAAGUCACAAUCUACUUGGAAGAGCUGGGUAAGACUCCUCUGAAGUUUAACAUCUCAGUGGAACAAGAUGUUGAAGUUCAGAACCUGAAAGCGGCGACAGUGUAUGUCUACGACUACUAUAAGCCAGAUGACCACACAGCAAGAGAGUAUGUUUUCCCUUGCAGUUCAGGUUAGUCUUAACAAGAUUCCAAGGUGGAAACAGCUGACACAAAGUAGAGGACUGGUGAUAUCUCAAAGAAGGUUCCUACUAGAAUGUCCUGACUCUGCAACCAAUAAUCUGAGUUCUCUGCUUCCACAAGGAAAACUUCAUUGACUUGGCUCUCUGCUGUGUUGGAUGCACCCUGUUUCUUUUGAUGCUAAAUUUCCAUGUGAAACCUGGCUUCAUACACAGUAAUUUGGGAUCAAGUGAAAUAAAGUAUGUGGAAUAUGGAGAUAAGGCAGUGACUUGACAGUUGAUGAAGAUUUUAAUGCCUGAAAAAAGAGAAACAUUACUUAGGUCAUGGUUGCAUACUUUGCUUUUGGUCGUCAUAGUGACUUUAUUCUUCGCCUCUUCCCUGAGUCCAAUCUCUGGCUAUCUUCUCAAUAGAGUUAACAGAACAGUUUGUCUACAACCAAACUCUAAGCAAAAAAAGACAUUUCUAACCCUCAUCUAGUUCACUACAUGGCCUUUUGAAUCAUCUUUAUGUCAUAACUGAAGAGUAGGAACAGGCAGAAAAGAACUGUAUAACAGUGCCUUUUGAAGGGAGGCCAUAUGACUGAAAUAACCCUUCCACAUUCA